AGGGUUGAAAAGAAUGCUUGAAGAACUUGUUUUCAAAUAUCUUCUUUGUCCUUGAUUCCCUCCUUUAAGUACCUUUUAUAACUUCAAAUAAUGGUGGAGAGUAAUUUGGACUGAAAUAGAGCCAUUAGAGCACAUUAAAUGAGCAUUAAAUGUAAUCAAAAUGGGUUAAAAACUAGCCAUUGUGGAAAUUUUCUGUCACAAGGGUCG
rnacentral:lncRNA from 1 species